ensembl:lncRNA
GGUUCCGCCAUACGGCUGCUGAGCGCCAGUGGCUCGGGCUCAGUCCGCGGUGCUCUGUGGCUGUUUGGGGCUGUGUGUCCCCGGGGCAGCACCAACCCCGGAGGAUCUCUGUGGGCGUUGCUGUGGCUGUGCUGGCUCCUGGUGCGGCGCUUUGGGGCAGCGGUGUGCGGAGCGGAGCUAGUGCCGCUGGGUGAUGGGGGGAUGGUGAGAGAGCUCUGUGGUUCCUGAAGUUCUCACCGGGUGAGACACCUGUGAGGCUUUUCCGUAAGCCAAUGAGCCCCACUUCCCUCCGGUUACCUGCAGCAGCCUUUGGAUUUCUUCCUUCUGGGAAAGUGCAGUAGGAUCUGUAGGGAGUUUGGUGAGCAUGUGACCUCUUUUUUAGCAGAAGGGGGUUGUGAGCUCUGAGGGUAGUUGAGGAAGCUGUGGGUGCUCACACGUGGUAAAUCAACCUCAUUAACAGGGCAGAGCAAGGCCCCUGUUUUACGUGCUGGGCUCCAGGAGAGCUUCCUAUGCAAUGUGUCUUGUUUGCUGUUGCUUUGUUCCCUAAAGGAGAGGAGAGAUUGAUUGUGUAAGGAAGAAAAAGUAAUCCUGGCUACCUACAGAGAACUUAAGCUAAUAAGAAAUAGUAGGGCUGUUAAUUGAUUUUCUUUGAGCAUUUACAGGUGGAGCAGCAGCUGUGUAAGGAGGAGAGCUGACUGUUGCAGGGCCAGUAUUGCACUUGGAGGUAUCCAAGGCCAGGAAUGAGAGUAAAACAUCCAAUGCUUUUGCACGCCUUGGGCCACGAUUAUUUUGGUUGUCUGAAAUAGCAGCUUCUGCUCUGCUUUGAUGCCAGCAAAGCCUGAAGGAGCGAGGAGUCAUCCUGCCAGUCACACCCCAUAUGUGCAAGGUCCCAUCAUUACUGUGUUUAGAGUACUGCAUAGAUCUGGGGGACUGCUUAGAAUACCAAAGCAGCAUGGAAACAGCACAGAAAAAUGCCACUAAAAUAAGUCAGAUUUCAGCACUGCUAUAUAAGUCCUGCAGGGUAGGACUCCCCUCAGCUGAGGGCCACGCUCACCUGCUUCAGAUGGCCAGUCAGAUGGAAAAACACUCUGCUAUCUGCAUAUGCCUCUUUCUCCAGUGGCAAGGAAGGUCUUGGAUGUCCUCGUGCUGAACCUCACCUAACAGUUGGUCUGUAGCCCACCUUGCAUUCUAGUGUUACCAGUCAGUAAGCAUAUGCCAAGGUAUCUGAGUAGUCCCACUGAUUUCUUGUGACUGUAAAGCUGAACAGAUGCUUUUCCUGGGACUGGGUAUUAAUGUGGGCUGGUGUUGAAGGUGUGUAAAUGAACCUUGUGCAAACUUGCAUCAAAAUGCAGGAGUCUUUUUAUGUGGGAGGAGAUCCUUAUCUUUAGGAAAUUGGGUAUGCAAUGCUGCAGAGAUUUCUUCCAGUAGAAGGCGCACGCAGGCAUUGUAAGCAAGGCCAAAAGCUUUGAGAGCCCAAUGAGCAAAGGGAGAGGAAUAGAGAACUUUCCCCACCAGGAAAUUUUAAAGCCAGUAAUAAACCAUCCUGCAUGUACAGACAUGCAUAUAUGUUAAAUGUGGGUAUAUUUACUUCUGCCAUCUCCACCUUGACAGAGAAACCUGCAGGUUUCUUUUCAGCCAUACAAGCAAUUGCUUUAUGGUCUCAAAAAUCUGAAGGUUAAAUUGGAUUACAUAGGAACCUGGAAAAUUAAAACAAAAGUACAGUUUUCUCCCAGAAAUGGAUGUAUGCCUUCCAUUAAAUGAAAGAAAACAAACAAGAAAUGGGGAUAAAGCACAGUGAAGGUAAUGCCAGUGGGUUACACACUAGUUAGCCAGGCAGAUGUGUAGAUACGAUUUGUGUAAUGACUGAGUUACCAGAAAAAUGGCUUCAAGAAAAAAAGUUAUACUGAAAGACUGUGCCUCUUUGCAGAGCUUCACAGUAAUUAUAGGAAACAGGAAACUUGAGGGCAAAAGGGCAUUUCUUUAAUUAUCAACAGUAAUUUAUCUUGGCUAAAUGGGAUACAAUAAAAGAUGCUUAAUUUUAAACACACUCCCUCCCUUUGCUCUGCUUCUCCCAUUGGAAACUCUGGGAGACUGCUAUGGGAAUGCAGAACGCUCUCAUGGGUGCUGUAGAUGUUCAAGAACCAACAGAAGCUGUUUGUUCCCUUGGUUUUUGUACAUCAAGCAUCUCCCUGGGCACAAACGUGAUGCAGAAGAGUGACACAGCUCAGAGGACUGCAGAUGCUCACUCCUGUGCCUCCACACUUACAGUACUGCACAGCAGUGCUUUGGUGACGGUACCCACUGAAGGUAACAUGAAAGAGAGUGAAAUCCUUAAGCGUUCCCAUGGAAAAGCACACACUGCGGCCAAACAGCGCACAAGUUUUCCUGUGUCUAACCAUACACUGCAGGUCUGGCUGAAGGCACAGGAAUUUACCCACGCUUUGCAGUGCAGGCUUUCUGGUUGCUGCCACAGCAGUGCUCAGGAGAAGGGGAUGGAACAAUUUCCAGUGGGCGCACAGCAGUUCCAACUCAAAUCCUCUCCUUGUCUCUCCCAGCCAGGUGGGCGGGGGGCAGAGCAGGGCCACAGAGCUGCCCAGGAGAGGUUUGUAUUUAUUCCCCCUACUCUGUUUGCAGACGGGACUGACCUGUUGUCAUAGGUUGAGUCUAGAGGGCUUGGUGUUGGACCUCUCACUGCCAGACAGACAUUGAGGUACUGGAGUGUGCCUGUGUGCAGAGAGGGGAACGGAGCUGUGAGGGCUCUGGAGCACACAUCUGAUGGG